GAAGAGUUUGAUCAUGGCUCAGAUUGAACGCUGGCGGCAGGCCUAACACAUGCAAGUCGAACGGUAACAGGAAGCAGCUUGCUGCUUUGCUGACGAGUGGCGGACGGGUGAGUAAUGUCUGGGAAACUGCCUGAUGGAGGGGGAUAACUACUGGAAACGGUGGCUAAUACCGCAUAACGUCGCAAGACCAAAGAGGGGGACCUUCGGGCCUCUUGCCAUCAGAUGUGCCCAGAUGGGAUUAGCUUGUUGGUGAGGUAACGGCUCACCAAGGCGACGAUCCCUAGCUGGUCUGAGAGGAUGACCAGCCACACUGGAACUGAGACACGGUCCAGACUCCUACGGGAGGCAGCAGUGGGGAAUAUUGCACAAUGGGCGCAAGCCUGAUGCAGCCAUGCCGCGUGUAUGAAGAAGGCCUUCGGGUUGUAAAGUACUUUCAGCGGGGAGGAAGGUGUUGUGGUUAAUAACCGCAGCAAUUGACGUUACCCGCAGAAGAAGCACCGGCUAACUCCGUGCCAGCAGCCGCGGUAAUACGGAGGGUGCAAGCGUUAAUCGGAAUUACUGGGCGUAAAGCGCACGCAGGCGGUCUGUCAAGUCGGAUGUGAAAUCCCCGGGCUCAACCUGGGAACUGCAUUCGAAACUGGCAGGCUUGAGUCUUGUAGAGGGGGGUAGAAUUCCAGGUGUAGCGGUGAAAUGCGUAGAGAUCUGGAGGAAUACCGGUGGCGAAGGCGGCCCCCUGGACAAAGACUGACGCUCAGGUGCGAAAGCGUGGGGAGCAAACAGGAUUAGAUACCCUGGUAGUCCACGCCGUAAACGAUGUCUACUUGGAGGUUGUGCCCUUGAGGCGUGGCUUCCGGAGCUAACGCGUUAAGUAGACCGCCUGGGGAGUACGGCCGCAAGGUUAAAACUCAAAUGAAUUGACGGGGGCCCGCACAAGCGGUGGAGCAUGUGGUUUAAUUCGAUGCAACGCGAAGAACCUUACCUGGUCUUGACAUCCACGGAAGUUUUCAGAGAUGAGAAUGUGCCUUCGGGAACCGUGAGACAGGUGCUGCAUGGCUGUCGUCAGCUCGUGUUGUGAAAUGUUGGGUUAAGUCCCGCAACGAGCGCAACCCUUAUCCUUUGUUGCCAGCGGUCCGGCCGGGAACUCAAAGGAGACUGCCAGUGAUAAACUGGAGGAAGGUGGGGAUGACGUCAAGUCAUCAUGGCCCUUACGACCAGGGCUACACACGUGCUACAAUGGCGCAUACAAAGAGAAGCGACCUCGCGAGAGCAAGCGGACCUCAUAAAGUGCGUCGUAGUCCGGAUUGGAGUCUGCAACUCGACUCCAUGAAGUCGGAAUCGCUAGUAAUCGUGGAUCAGAAUGCCACGGUGAAUACGUUCCCGGGCCUUGUACACACCGCCCGUCACACCAUGGGAGUGGGUUGCAAAAGAAGUAGGUAGCUUAACCUUCGGGAGGGCGCUUACCACUUUGUGAUUCAUGACUGGGGUGAAGUCGUAACAAGGUAACCGUAGGGGAACCUGCGGUUGGAUCACCUCCUUA
rnacentral:rRNA from 1 species